rnacentral:rRNA from 1 species
GAGUUUGAUCAUGGCUCAGAAUCAACGCUGGCGGCGUGCCUAACACAUGCAAGUCGAACGCGAAAGUCCCGCAAGGGGCAAGUAGAGUGGCAAACGGGUGAGUAACGCGUGGGUGACCUGCCUUCGAGCGGGGGGAUAACGUCCCGAAAGGGACGCUAAUACCGCAUAACAUCCUGCCUUUGAAGAGGUGGAGAUCAAAGCUGGGGAUUCGCAAGAACCCGGCACUUGAAGAGGGGCCCGCGUCUGAUUAGCUAGUUGGUGAGGUAACGGCUCACCAAGGCUUCGAUCAGUAGCCGGCCUGAGAGGGCGGACGGCCACACUGGGACUGAGACACGGCCCAGACUCCUACGGGAGGCAGCAGUGGGGAAUUGUUCGCAAUGGGCGCAAGCCUGACGACGCAACGCCGCGUGGAGGAUGAAGACUUUCGGUC